GCCUAAAAUCUAGCCCUACUCCACCCGCAUGAACACCUUUACCCUAUGCCCUUCAAACAAAACAUUUUUACAUUUUAGUACAGGCGAUCAAAAAAUUUCUAGGCGCUUCAGAUACAGUACCGCAAGGGAAUGAUGAAAUAAUAAUGAAACAACUUUAAAGCCCAAAACAGCAGAGACUCACCCUCGUACCUUUUGCAUCAUGGUCUAGCUAGUCCAACCAAGCAAAAAGAAACUUUUAGUUUGACUCCCCGAAACUAAGCGAGCUACUUCAAAACAGCCCAAAGGGGCCAACCCGUCUCUGUUGCAAAAGAGUGGGAAGAUUUUCAAGUAGAAGUGAAAAGCCUACCGAGCUUAGAGAUAGCUGGUUGUUCAGGAAAAGAGUUUAAGCUCUACCUUAAGUUUUUACCGUUACCCCAAACACAACCUUAAACUUAAGAGCUAUUCAAAUAAGGCACAGCUUAUUUGAAGCAGGGUACAACCUCCGACACCGGGUAAAUAUGGGUAUACCCAAGUAAAGUGGGCCUAAAAGCAGCCACCUUCUAAAAAGCGUUAAAGCUUAACCGUCAAGCUUCCCUUAAUUCCUUAAAUUUAUUUUAACCCUUAAUCACUACUGAACUAUUUUAUAUUGAUAUAAAAGUCAUUAUGCUAGAACUAGUAAUAAGAAAUUGCCUUUCUCCUAAAUGCAAGCAUAAACCAAAAUGGACCUGCCAUUGGUAGUUAACGUAAAUGUCUCUAUUAUAGCAACACUCAACUAGAAAACCCUAUAAUCACUAACGUUAGCCUAACACCAGCGCAUUUCAGGAAAGAUUAAAAGAGAAAGAAGGAACUCGGCAAACCUUAGCCCCGCCUGUUUACCAAAAACAUCGCCUCUUGAUUAAACAUAAGAGGUCCAGCCUGCCCAGUGACAUAGUUUAACGGCCGCGGUACCCUAACCGUGCGAAGGUAGCAUAAUCACUUGUUCUUUAAAUAGGGACUCGUAUCAACGGCAUCACGAGGGCUAUACUGUCUCCUUUCUCCAAUCAAUGAAACUGAUCUCCCCGUGAAGAAGCGGGGAUUAACCUAUAAGACGAGAAGACCCCAUGGAGCUUCAAACUCAACAUAUACCUCUACGCACUUAAACCACUUUAGCCCAAGAGAUCUCUAUGUUAGUUUUGGGUUGGGGGGACCGCGGAGUAAAAAUUAACCUCCACGACAAACGGGCUUUACGCCCUUAUCCACGAACUACAACUCUAAGAAUCAAUAAACUGAUGUUUAUGACCCGAUUAUUCGAUCAACGAACCAAGUUACCCUGGGGAUAACAGCGCAAUCUACUUCAAGAGCCCCUAUCGACAAGUAGGUUUACGACCUCGAUGUUGGAUCAGGGUAUCCUAGUGGUGCAGCCGCUACUAAUGGUUCGUUUGUUCAACGAUUAAAACCCUACGUGAUCUGAGUUCAGACCGGAGCAAUCCAGGUCGGUUUCUAUCUAUAAAGCGUUUCCCCUAGUACGAAAGGAUCGGGGCAACAUGGCCAAUGUAAAAACAAGCCAUACUCUUCACUAAUGAAUUUAUCUCAAUUAGUUCGGACCUAACAAUGCACCGCAGACCAAGGU
rnacentral:rRNA from 1 species